rnacentral:tRNA from 1 species
GGGAUUGUAGCUCAGUGGUAGAGCACAUGCCUCUCAUGCAUGAAGCACUGGAUUCCAUCCUCAGCACCA